GUGGUUUCGCACUUUCUCACUUUAGUAUCUUAUGGUUUAAAGUGUAUCAAGUUAAUACCAUGUGGUUUCACAAUUUCUCACUUUAGUACCCUGUGGUUUAAUAUUUCAUUAAGAAAAAAAUAAAACCAUAGGGUACUAACUUGAUAUAAAAAUAAAACCACAUGAUACUAAUUUAAUACAUUUUAAACCAAAGAGUACUAAAGUGAGAAAGUACGAAACCACAGAGAACUAGCUCGAUACAUUUUAAACCAAAGGAUACUAAAAUGAAAAAGUGCGAAACCAUAUGAGGGUUUUUGAAGUUUUUUCUAACAAUUAUGAGGCCCUACAGGCCCAUAAC
rnacentral:lncRNA from 1 species